CACCAACACAGCUAGCAUUAGCACCAACAACAGCACCCGUCAGCCACAUCAGUACCACCGCCAGUAGUAGCUAGCAGCUUGCUUCAACUCUCGUAGCUUCAAGCAGCUCGUGAAUCACUCAAGCUAGCUUCUCGAUCAUGGCGCCGGCGUCCAAGGUCAUGACCCACAUCGUCCAAGACGGUGGCAUUGCCUCCUACGCCGUUUACGCCGCCGCGCCGUCCGAGGACUGGUGCGGCCAGCGGCAUAGGAAGGCCGAGACGGACGGCGACGACGACGAUGACGACUAUGACUGCGCGCCUGCCGCCUGAAGUGUACCUCUCGAGCGUAUGUGCUCGCCGGUGAAACGAAUCUGGGAUCUGCCCGCGAAGAGAUAGUAUAUAUAUACUCCGAAUUGAUCGCUGCUAGCUGCAUGCUGUGUAUGCUUAUUCAAUCUCGAGUACGUAGGUACGUAUAUGCGUGUUUACGGCUACUUAUAUGAAUGUAUCUCCCGUAGUUAUAUGAGGCAGUGAGUUGUGCCUUUUGUAAUCGGAAAGCUUAGAUAUGGUGCCGCUUAAUUAAACCCCACUGUGCUUGUUAAAUUUUCCUAAUUUAGCUAUGCCUAGUUACCUACUGUUAUAGAUACUGAGGUAGCUUUGUGCUUCUUCAUCGAUUUGGUGCAAUAAAACUGAUAUCUUGUUCAGUACAUCUUUACCUUGUUACUCUUCAUACAUGUAUGUACUGCUCUGCUGAUGAUUUCAUGCUCUCUGUGGUGCCAUGUAUUUUUGGUGCUCUGCUUGAUUAAAUUGCAUCCAGGAAGAGUCAACAGGCUAUCCAAUUCCAUGUUGCAUUGAUUUUUCUUAAAGCACAAUACCUUUUCUUUACAUAUCUUUUCUUAUAUAUAACAGAGAGUAGUAGGCUAUUAUCAAAUCAUUGUUUUUCUUUCUUUGUGGAAGAUACAAUCUCCCAAACUUUAGUGUUUUAACACCAACUUGGUAGUAAGAUUCUAGAUAUGAUCGAUGCCCUACUAUUGAAAUUAUUUGUUUAUUCAGUUAUAUGUUUCCAUGCUACGAUUUGCACAUGGCCGUAUGCCACACGAUGCCACGAUCAUACAUCUGCCCACACUCAUGCUUCUGUAUGUCGACAUUUGAAUGUAUAUAGCUCCUGGCACCACAGCCCACAGGCACGACUGCACGAGGCAACUCAUAAACCUAUUAUAAUACUCAUAAUGAAUCUUGCAGCAGUUAUGUUUUGUACAGAUGAAAGAGCGCCACAGGAAACACUGGGAGUAACCUAUGAGGCACGGUGAGGUGUUCUCUGUUACCACGAAGCUAGAGUUUGUGGCUCAUCAACCCGCUUUGCUGGCCAACUAUGCUUAGGUUCAGCGCAGAAGUGUGGCAGCAUGCCAGAGCUUGGAUCGGCGGCAGAAUUCCCUGUUCCCAGUACCCUCUUUGCGAGCAUGGAAGACUGGUGGGUCGUGGGCUCGUGGCUGCAGCUGAUGAAACAUGCGCCUAAAACACUUCAUCGUGAUUUCGACACCGUGGUGCCUUGUCCACUGGGCGAAUAUGGAAGGAAAGAAAUUCCAGAGUAUUCGAUGGUGUCCAGCACUCAGGAGAGGAAGUGUUUGAUCUGAUGAGGGAUGAAAUCAGCGUCUGGCGUACGGCCGGCCGCGUCACAGCAAUCGCUUGGGUUCUGGCUAGCUACGUGGCUUUCCUCUGGGAGUUCUCUCUGAAACUUCCUCUAGUUCUGCUGUUUUUGUGCUGAUCUCAGUCAUUUCUGAGACCCACCCUUGUUUGGCUUGCGUUUUUCCAUGCUCUUGAGCUGGCAUCCGUUCUUGGCAAA